UACGUAGGUGGCAAGCGUUGUCCGGAAUUAUUGGGCGUAAAGCGCGCGCAGGCGGUCCUUUAAGUCUGAUGUGAAAGCCCACGGCUCAACCGUGGAGGGUCAUUGGAGACUGGGGGACUUGAGUACAGAAGAGAAGAGUGGAAUUCCACGUGUAGCGGUGAAAUGCGUAGAGAUGUGGAGGAACACCAGUGGCGAAGGCGGCCUUCUGGACCAGCACUGACACUCAAGCACGAAAGCGUGGGGAGCAAACAGG
rnacentral:rRNA from 1 species